rnacentral:rRNA from 1 species
UACGUAGGUGGCAAGCGUUGUCCGAAUUUACUGGGCGUAAAGAGCGCGCAGGCGGUCGUUCAAGUCGCGUGUGAAAGCCCCCGGCUCAACUGGGGAGGGUCACGCGAUACUGAUCGACUCGAAGGCAGGAGAGGGAAGUGGAAUUCCCGGUGUAGCGGUGAAAUGCGUAGAUAUCGGGAAGAACACCAGUGGCGAAGGCGCUCUACUGGGCCACAACUGACGCUGAGGGACGAAAGCUAGGGGAGCGAAAGGG